rnacentral:rRNA from 1 species
AUGUCAUCUCACUACAUUAGGCCUCAAGACCCAAAUUUUCGCAUCGUGCAUGAUAGGAUUAAGCGUGACAAAAGGGCUUAUCCUCAUCUCAAAGACUGCAUUGGUGCAAUAGAUGGGACACAUGUCAGGGCUUCUAUUCCGGAAGGACCUUCAAAAGUAAGGUAUAUUGGAAGAACAUGUGCAACAACUCAGAAUGUGAUGGCAGUAUGUGACUUUGAUAUGCAUUUCACCUACGCUUCAGUUGGACAACCGGGUUCUAUGCAUGAUACAAGUGUGUUAUUCCAUGCAAUCGAAAAUGACAAGGACACAUUCCCGCAUCCUCCAAAGGGUUAG